GCGUUUUGACGUUUCCUAUCUCCUCUCCGUUGGAGCGUUUUCUCUCCUCUCUUCCAGCGUCGUUCCCUCUCCUCUCUCCGUUUCAUAUGGCCUCUCCCUUCUCCGCCGCAUCAUUCUUCUACCCUAAUCUGUUACAUAUAUAGAUGCUCGAUCCGUUUUUGAUCAAUUCCUCUACCUUCCAUGCCCAUUUGUCUAUCCCACUUAAGCUGUUACAUCCCUCCUCCUCACUGCUAUGCAUUUGCCUAUAUAAUCCAUCUAUGCAAUCCAAAAUUAAACACUGUACGUACAACGACAGUAAGGAAUGGGAAACCGAUGGCUUUUUCGUGUGGCAGUCAUUCUAUUUUCUGCUCCUUUGUUACCUCUAUGCUUAACCUCCAAAUGUCAACAAUAACAGGCACCACCAUUGCACAAGAGGAUGUAACCAAAUCAUGGAAGUUAUUGCAUGUUGGGGCUCACCUUCUUUAAAGCCAAUCAUAACAAAGAGGAUGCUGCAAUGAUUGUUAUCGGGAGGCUUCGCAAUGAGCUAGACUUAGAAGUUAAGGACACCAAUUAGGAAGAAAGAAAUAUUUAAGAGGUUUAGACAAUCAGAUUUGUUGGAACAUGAAGAGUUUUGCGAUGAAUACGAGAUGCUUAAGUUGGAUUACGACCUUCUCAGAAGGUUCUAUAAUUCUUUGGUCGCAAAAAGGGACCAAUUUGUUGCCGACUUGGAAGAAAUGAAGAAAAAAUAUUGAUAAAUGUUUUGAAAUAAUUCAUCGACCCAACAUUGUUCCAAUGGAUGAGGAAUCGGUGACAAAUCCCGAUGAACAUGUGAUGGUGCCUUCUCUUAGGCAUUCUCCUACAGUAGGUGGUCCAGAACUCACCACACUUCUAACUACAAACCU